CUACUCUUGACAUCCAGAGAACUUAGCAGAGAUGCUUUGGUGCCUUCGGGAACUCUGAGACAGGUGCUGCAUGGCUGUCGUCAGCUCGUGUUGUGAAAUGUUGGGUUAAGUCCCGCAACGAGCGCAACCCUUAUCCUUUGUUGCCAGCGGUUAGGCCGGGAACUCUAAGGAGACCGCCGGUGACAAACCGGAGGAAGGUGGGGAUGACGUCAAGUCAUCAUGGCCCUUACGACCAGGGCUACACACGUGCUACAAUGGCGCAUACAAAGAGAAGCGACCUCGCGAGAGCAAGCGGACCUCGUAAAGUGCGUCGCAGUCCGGAUUGGAGUCUGCAACUCGACUCCAUGAAGUCGGAAUCGCUAGUAAUCGUGGAUCAGAAUGCCACGGUGAAUACGUUCCC
rnacentral:rRNA from 1 species